ensembl:lncRNA LINC00635 long intergenic non-protein coding RNA 635
GGUCUCUUCAGCAUAGCAACAGCAGCGUAGCUGAACAUCUUACGGAUGGCCCAGGGCUCCAAAGGCUCGUUUCCUAAGUGAGAGAGAGCCUGGCUGAAGCUGUAUUACCAUUCAUUCUCCAGCCUCCGAAGUCUCAAAGCAUCACUUCCACCAUACUCUAACUGUCAAGACAAACACAAAGGCCCAGAAACUGCCAGACUGUCUUCUGAAGUGGCUAUAAUAUUUACACUCCCAUCAGCAGUGUAGAAGGGGUCUCACUAUGUUGUCUGGAGUGCUGUGGUGGAGUGGAGUGGCUAUUCACAGCUGAGUUUGCAGAGUAAACCACUACCCUGAAAUCUGGAAAGGCAGGUGCACCCACAGAUCCUCAGCUGAGAUCCAAUUACCUGAAAUAGAAGCUGCCAUUAGGAACACUUAAAAGAGCCUGUUCUGCUGGGACACAGAAUCACUUGCUCCAUCUCAUACAUUGAUGAUGAUUAAUUUGUAUGUGUACCUUCCAAAAAAGAUGGUUGUGUUUGAAUGGAGGCCUUCUGGACAGGAAAAUUGCAAAGUACAAUUAACAUUUGAGUCUGUCUGAGUCAUGAAGAAAUGGAGAUUACUGAAAAUAAUUCAUUUUGGUAUCUUCUUACAUCCUGAGAGACUAAUCUUUCCAAGUUCAUCUGAGGCUCCUCUUCUCCAUGACAACCUCAUCCAGGGAUUUCUUCCUGUCCUGGUGUUUUAUGACAUCAUCCUCAUCUCGCUUGUAAGGAUAAUAGCCUUCCUCCAAACCUCACACACUUUUGGAGGAGAUCACUUUUUUUAAAGUGCAUGGAAAUGUUUUGAAACAGUGAAAUCUAUAAUGAUAGGUUUCAUAAUUCUAACAUCCACACCAUAUGAAUCACAUCCUUCCUGAGAUAAUGAGCACACAAUUGCCUGGAUACCUGAAGGAAUGGAGACAGCGGCAGAAAACACUGCAGAGAGGUGGAAACAUCCGUUAAUAUUUUAAAAUCCCAUUACUGCUACCAACAAUAAUAAUGGAUGCAUAGAAAUAGAUCUGGAUUAGCUGAGCUUGAAACAGUCCAUCUCACACACACACAAAAGAAUUUCAGAUACAGUGAACCCACAUGUUGAAGCUUUCUAGUAUAAUAAAAAUUUCAACUGUUCUGUUGAAUCAUCUGCCUGAUUGGAGGCUACAGAAAAGAUGUCAUCUUAGGAGUGCUUGCUCUGAGUGAGGCUCAUCUUCAAAUCUGAAUGACCACAAGGAGAUUUGAUUAUACAUGUGAACACCUCAGAAGGCACAGCCCACCCAGAAGGCAGACAGGUCAGGCUGCUUUUUCUUCAUUGCUUGGAUUCAAUCCUCCGGGCGGCUCAGGCUCAAACAUAACUUAAGCAUGAUUAAACUUUAGAAGAAGCUGCCAGGAAGACUGUGAAAUCUUCAUGCCCAAGGAUCCCUAAAAUUAGGAGCAACAACCACUUGGCUCAGACGGUUUAUGGAGGCAAAGGUUUGGAUGGGAUUAGAGAUUUCUAAAUGUGAGUUCGUGUCCUCUGCCAGACCACCUUACUUCCACCAUUCCUCAGCAAAUCAAGAAAAACAGGAGAAAAGACAUGCCUUUCCAUAAGUUAAAUCUAUUCUGUUUUAAUUCUAUAUUAUAUCUGCUGUACAACUUCUUUUGUUUGUAACACCAUAUUGUUGCUAGUAACUGGAAAUUAAUUUUCACAUGCCUCAGCUUAGAAAAAUAAAAAGCAGCCCUGCAUCAAUCCCAAU